GUUUUAUAGGCGAACCAAUUUGGUGAAAUGGUGAGUUUGAAAGGUGGAAAAGAGUCAAAUUUACAUAGAGGUGAAUGGACAAGAAGAAGCAUCGAGAUGCAUGUGAAAGACGAUGGAAGAAAGAAGGAAGAAAACAAACUAAAAAAACUUGCCACAGUUCCUAGGCGCCACAAAGGGAGUAGAAACUCAGCGCCUAGGCGCCACAAAGCAGCGCCCAGGCGCUGCACACGCUGAAACGAGACAGAAACGCAACGCCUAGGCACCACUUUUGUAGCGCCCAGGCGCUGCAUGCCGAGAAAGGAAAAACGCUAUUUUUCCAAAUAUUUUCGACC
rnacentral:lncRNA from 1 species